rnacentral:tRNA from 1 species
GCUGAGGUAGUUUAUUUAGAACAGUAGCCUGUCUAGCUAAAAGUACCUAGAAGAAAUGGGUGCUCGGUU